UGCUGACAUAAGUAACGAUAAUGCGGGUGAAAAACCCGCACGCCGGAAGACCAAGGGUUCCUGUCCAACGUUAAUCGGGGCAGGGUGAGUCGACCCCUAAGGCGAGGCCGAAAGGCGUAGUCGAUGGGAAACAGGUUAAUAUUCCUGUACUUGGUGUUACUGCGAAGGGGGGACGGAGAAGGCUAUGUUGGCCGGGCGACGGUUGUCCCGGUUUAAGCAUGUAGGCGGAGGUUCCAGGUAAAUCCGGUACCUUUUAACGCUGAGGUGUGAUGACGAGGCACUACGGUGCUGAAGUGACAAAUGCCCUGCUUCCAGGAAAAGCCUCUAAGCAUCAGGUAACACGAAAUCGUACCCCAAACCGACACAGGUGGUCAGGUAGAGAAUACCAAGGCGCUUGAGAGAACUCGGGUGAAGGAACUAGGCAAAAUGGUGCCGUAACUUCGGGAGAAGGCACGCUGAUAUGUAGGUGAAGCGGUUUACCC
rnacentral:rRNA from 1 species